rnacentral:rRNA from 1 species
GAUGAACGCUAGCUACAGGCUUAACACAUGCAAGUCGAGGGGCAGCAUUUCAGUUUGCUUGCAAACUGGAGAUGGCGACCGGCGCACGGGUGAGUAACACGUAUCCAACCUGCCGAUAACUCGGGGAUAGCCUUUCGAAAGAAAGAUUAAUACCCGAUGGUAUAAUCAGACCGCAUGGUCUUGUUAUUAAAGAAUUUCGGUUAUCGAUGGGGAUGCGUUCCAUUAGGCAGUUGGUGAGGUAACGGCUCACCAAACCUUCGAUGGAUAGGGGUUCUGAGAGGAAGGUCCCCCACAUUGGAACUGAGACACGGUCCAAACUCCUACGGGAGGCAGCAGUGAGGAAUAUUGGUCAAUGGGCGCAGGCCUGAACCAGCCAAGUAGCGUGAAGGAUGACUGCCCUAUGGGUUGUAAACUUCUUUUAUAUGGGAAUAAAGUUUUCCACGUGUGGAAUUUUGUAUGUACCAUAUGAAUAAGGAUCGGCUAACUCCGUGCCAGCAGCCGCGGUAAUACGGAGGAUCCGAGCGUUAUCCGGAUUUAUUGGGUUUAAAGGGAGCGUAAGUGGACAGUUAAGUCAGUUGUGAAAGUUUGCGGCUCAACCGUAAAAUUGCAGUUGAUACUGGCUGUCUUGAGUACAGUAGAGGUGGGCGGAAUUCGUGGUGUAGCGGUGAAAUGCUUAGAUAUCACGAAGAACUCCGAUUGCGAAGGCAGCUCACUGGACUGCAACUGACACUGAUGCUCGAAAGUGUGGGUAUCAAACAGGAUUAGAUACCCUGGUAGUCCACACAGUAAACGAUGAAUACUCGCUGUUUGCGAUAUACAGUAAGCGGCCAAGCGAAAGCAUUAAGUAUUCCACCUGGGGAGUACGCCGGCAACGGUGAAACUCAAAGGAAUUGACGGGGGCCCGCACAAGCGGAGGAACAUGUGGUUUAAUUCGAUGAUACGCGAGGAACCUUACCCGGGCUUAAAUUGCAUUUGAAUAUAUUGGAAACAGUAUAGCCGUAAGGCAAAUGUGAAGGUGCUGCAUGGUUGUCGUCAGCUCGUGCCGUGAGGUGUCGGCUUAAGUGCCAUAACGAGCGCAACCCUUAUCUUUAGUUACUAACAGGUCAUGCUGAGGACUCUAGAGAGACUGCCGUCGUAAGAUGUGAGGAAGGUGGGGAUGACGUCAAAUCAGCACGGCCCUUACGUCCGGGGCUACACACGUGUUACAAUGGGGGGUACAGAAGGCAGCUACCUGGUGACAGGAUGCUAAUCCCAAAAGCCUCUCUCAGUUCGGAUCGAAGUCUGCAACCCGACUUCGUGAAGCUGGAUUCGCUAGUAAUCGCGCAUCAGCCAUGGCGCGGUGAAUACGUUCCCGGGCCU